rnacentral:rRNA from 1 species
GUCCCGGCCCUAAACGGUGCAUGUUUGCUGUAGGAGGAAUCGACCCCUUCUGUGGCGAAGCUAACGCGAUAAACAUGCCGCCUGGGGAGUACGGUCGCAAGAUUAAAACUCAAAGAAAUUGACGGGGCCUGCACAAGCGGUGGAGUAUGUGGCUUAAUUCGAUGCAACGCGAAGAACCUUACCUGGCCUUGACAUGCAUUUGGUAGAACCAUGAAAGUGGGACGACCCCGCAAGGGGAGGAUGCACAGGUGCUGCAUGGCUGUCGU